rnacentral:rRNA from 1 species
GGGUUUCCGCCCUUCAGUGCCGGAGCUAACGCAUUAAGCACUCCGCCUGGGGAGUACGACCGCAAGGUUGAAACUCAAAGGAAUUGACGGGGGCCCGCACAAGCGGUGGAGCAUGUGGUUUAAUUCGAAGCUACGCGAAGAACCUUACCAGGUCUUGACAUCUUGCGCUAACCUUAGAGAUAAGGCGUUCCCUUCGGGGACGCAAUGACAGGUGGUGCAUGGUCGUCGUCAGCUCGUGUCGUGAGAUGUUGGGUUAAGUCCCGCAACGAGCGCAACCCUUGUUACUAGUUGCCAGCAUUAAGUUGGGCACUCUAGUGAGACUGCCGGUGACAAACCGGAGGAAGGUGGGGACGACGUCAGAUCAUCAUGCCCCUUAUGACCUGGGCUACACACGUGCUACAAUGGACGGUACAACGAGUCGCAAGCUCGCGAGAGUAAGCUAAUCUCUUAAAGCCGUUCUCAGUUCGGACUGUAGGCUGCAACUCGCCUACACGAAGUCGGAAUCGCUAGUAAUCGCGGAUCAGCAUGCCGCGGUGAAUACGUUCCCGGGCCUUGUACACACCGCCCGUCACACCAUGGGAGUUUGUAACGCCCAAAGUCGGUGGCCUAACCAUUA